rnacentral:ncRNA from 1 species
GGAUGAACGAAACACCCGUUCAGCGGGCGACCGCGAGCGGUGCCAUCGCGUGGCCUUCCGGGCGACGCACCGGCCGUGCGUUCGCGCACACCCCCGGGGCCUCGGGUCCCGGGCAUCCUCACCGAUCGGA